UCCUAGUUACUUCCGGCCUCUGGGAGCCAUCCCUCCGGAAGUGCUUGUGGCUUCUGUCUUGUUGGGGUUUUUUACAAAUGCCUAGUCUUUAAGUGGGAAAGAAAAAACAGCUAAGGUCAGCAAGACAGAAAGGAGAAAAGUUGGAAGCACUAAUCCCCAGGAUGUGUCAUUAGCUGGAAAGAAAAUACAGUUGAGUAGCUGAAGUAAUGCAGGGUUUAUUUUUGAGAGAGAGAGCACGCACAAGUGGGGCAGGGGCAGAGAAAAGAGAACAGAAGAUCCGAAGCAGGCUCUGUGCUGACAGCAGCAAGCUGGAUGUGGUGCUUGAACUCACGAACUGAGAAAUCUGAAGUUGGACGCUCAACCAGCUAAGCCACUCAGGGCUUGAACUGAGGACCAUGAGAUCAAGUGUCGCAUGCUGUACCGACUGAGGCAGCCAGGGGCUGGCCUAAUAAUCACAGCAUACCUUGAUUUUGCUCAGGGGACUUCAACAUGUCUUUGAGCUGAGCCAGUGCCUCUUCAGAAACCCACAAGGUAAGCAGAAAGCAGAUCGUUCUGAUCCAUUAUCUCUCAAGUAUGGGGUAAUUAUUUUGAAUGAGUAAAUACCAUGCUUCCCAGCAUUAGGAAUUGGGAAAGAUAGGAGAGAAUAUUACUCAUCUUAGUUUCCUCCUUUGGGUUUCUGACUCUUCCUUUGAGGCACUAGUACCAAAACUUACUUGGCUAUAGGAAUGAUUAUGAACUUUAUGAUUCAUUAAAAAAAACAUUUAUUGAGCUCCAAUGUUAAUGCUAGACAUCGAGUAAAAAGCUGAAGCCAAAAGUGAAAAAAAAUACGUGGUCAUUGACCCUACAGAGUGGAAAAGAGGAGACAUUCAUUUAAGUUUUUUUUUUUAUUAAAAAAAUAUUUUUUAACAUUUAUUUUUGAGAGAGAGAAAAUAAGCAUGAGUGGGAGAGGGGCAG